ACAGGUCUGAUAGGAAAUGCCAUCCGUGUUGUAAUGCCUUGUGUUAAGGUAAGAGUUGGGGAUGGAAAACCUCUAAGUUGAAUGAAAUAAAUAUUGCCUUGACUGUUUUUAGGGCAGACAGAUUCAAUACAAUACAUAGUGUUGUAUUUAAAUUCUGUGAUUUAGCAUUUUAUAACCAUCCUGUCUAGUACACAUCUCGAUCGUACUGGACCGUGAAGAAGAGGACGGAGGUCUCUGGAGGGGGGGCAGCUACACCUCCAAAUCCUCCGGACUUUCCAGACACCUCACAGCGUGACGCACCAGUGGAAACACACACACCUGUCCCACUAAUCCGACAGACAGGUGUCUACAAUUAGCAACUCCAUAAGGCUGAAGCCUUGACUACUGUAACAAAGCUAUUUGUAUUGUAUCUUUCGGAAAAUCUAUAUGUAGUGCAUAUCAACUGUAUAAAUCACUUAAAAUGGCAGGUGGUAGUGGUACAGUAGUAAAGUGUUGUUGUGACAAGGAAAGGGAUGGCGCAAAGGAGGAGUUGUGGUCAAUUGUUCUGCAGAAGUGAAAGUGAAAUACAUUUUUUUGUGUAUUUAGGAGGAAGUGAAGACUCAUAAAUAGAGCAACACAUACACAUAUGUGCCGAUUCAGGAGGGUGACAGGAAAGUGGGAUCAAGAUUAUGGUGACCUGAGCGGAGCCCAUACGGUAACUGUCUUUUCAGAAAUGGGACUUGUCUUUUUUUGUCUGUACUUUCACUUUGGAUGGCUGUCCUCAGUCAACCCUUUCUUGAUAUUUAUUUAUCUUCCUUAAACAAAUACUCCUCUCUGGUUCUCUCAUUUUGAUUUACACAAAGUAUUCCUUUUCCUGUUCACUUCUUCUAUUGACCAGAGACACCUGCUCCCCUUCGCACCUUAAGAGGAGAUGACUUCAAUCAAUAAACAUGAAACAGGUUUUUCAAGACUUCAAGAUAUGAAUGGAACAGGAUAGACUGUCUUUUUUCCACCCCAAGAAGGAGGCUAAAUUCAGAAUAGAAAGUGAACCUGAGUUUAAAUUACGUUAGUUUAAAUUGUGAAUGGGACACUCAGUAGUAGUGUUAGCGGGUAGGGUGGUAACGGAACCCAUAAAGCAGCUGUGUCUUUCAAAAGCAGCUGGAUGUGAGCUCCGUUUCCAUCCCGUUUCGCAACAUCCAACAGUCUGACCGUUUGUAGAGAGAAACAUACUUCCUGGUGUACUUGAGUCAGUGAGUGUCUUUUAGUGUGAUGUGGCUACAGUUGACUCUUCAAUAACUAAUAGGUGAUGUUCUUCAAUGACACGUUUUCUCCCGGAUUGACACAAACUGUAAGCCCCGGGAGUUUCCUGUCAGCAAAGAAUGACACCAGCUUCUAUAUAGGACAUGAGCAGCUUAAGCUAUUUAUUUUAGCUGAUUAAUGUAGUGUGUAAAUUGAUUUAUCGUCAGGCUAUUGUUUCUGAAUUGUUGCCCUGUUAUUUUGAAUUAAAAUAUAACUGGAUUUUAUUCACAGUAUCUAUUUGUUAUAUUGUCUGGGAACACUUAAGAUAAUUUACUAUACCAUGUCAUAUGUCCAUGGAUAUGUGUGUGCUGUCCAAUUGUCUAAUUCAGUUUACAUUAAAGAGCCAGUUUACAUUAGA